rnacentral:tRNA from 1 species
UAGGCUGAAGUCCGCUGGCUAGGAUGUUUAGUUGUUAACUAGUUUUUUACGGGAUCGAGGCCCGUUUGUCUAUUA